UACAGGGGGGGCAAGCGUUGUUCGGAAUUACUGGGCGUAAAGGGCUCGUAGGCGGCCAACUAAGUCCGACGUGAAAUCCCAAAGCUUAACUUUGGAACUGCGUCGGAUACUGGAUGGCUUGAAUUCGGGAGAGGGAUGCAGAAUUCCAGGUGUAGCGGUGAAAUGCGCAGAUAUCAGGAGGAACACCGGUGGCGAAGGCGGGUCUCUGGGCCGAAACUGACGCUGAGGAGCGAAAGCGUGGGGAGCGAACAGG
rnacentral:rRNA from 1 species